AGGAUUAACGCUGGCGGCGUGCCUAACACAUGCAAGUCGAACGAGGUAGCAAUACCUAGUGGCAGACGGGUGAGUAACGCGUGGUCAACCUACCGUUGAGUGGGGGAUAACUAGCCGAAAGGUUAGCUAAUACCGCAUACGUCUCCGAGGGGCAUCCCUUGGCGAUAAAAGGAGCAAUCCGCUCGAUGACGGGACCGCGUCCCAUUAGCUAGAUGGUGGGGUAACGGCCUACCAUGGCACCGAUGGGUAGCUGGUUUGAGAGAGCGACCAGCCACACUGGGACUGAGAAACGGCCCAGACUCCUACGGGAGGCAGCAGUGAGGAAUUUUCCGCAAUGGGCGCAAGCCUGACGGAGCGACGCCGCGUGUGGGAAGAAGGCCUUCGGGUCGUAAACCACUGUCGAAGGGGACGAUAAAUGACGGUACCCUUGGAGGAAGCCCCGGCUAACUACGCGCCAGCAGCGC
rnacentral:rRNA from 1 species